rnacentral:rRNA from 1 species
UACGUAGGUGGCAAGCGUUGUCCGGAAUUCUUGGGCGUAAAGCGCGCGCAGGCGGUUUCUUAAGUCUGAUGUGAAAGCCCCCGGCUCAACCGGGGAGGGUCAUUGGAAACUGGGAAACUUGAGUGCAGAAGAGGAAAGUGGAAUUCCAAGUGUAGCGGUGAAAUGCGUAGAGAUGUGGAGGAACACCAGUGGCGAAGGCGGCUCUCUGGCCUGUAACUGACGCUGAGGCGCGAAAGCGUGGGGAGCAAACAGG